CGGCGGACGGGUGAGUAACGCGUGGGUAACCUGCCUCAUACAGGGGAGUAACAGUUAGAAAUGACUGCUAAUACCGCAUAAGACCACAGCACCGCAUGGUGCGGGGGUAAAAACUCCGGUGGUAUGAGAUGGACCCGCGUCUGAUUAGCUAGUUGGUAAGGUAACGGCUUACCAAGGCGACGAUCAGUAGCCGACCUGAGAGGGUGACCGGCCACAUUGGGACUGAGACACGGCCCAA
rnacentral:rRNA from 1 species